rnacentral:rRNA from 1 species
AACGUAGGAGACAAACGUUAUCCGGAGUUACUGGGCGUAAAGGGCGUGUAGGUGGUUUCGUAAGUCUGGCGUGAAAUUUUUCGGCUUAACCGGGAAAGGUCGUCGGAUACUGCAGAACUAGAGGACGGUAGAGGCGUGUGGAAUUCCGGGUGUAGUGGUGAAAUGCGUAGAGAUCCGGAGGAACACCAGUGGCGAGGGCGACACGCUGGGCCGUACCUGACACUGAUGCGCGACAGCAUGGGGGAGCAAACAGG